rnacentral:lncRNA from 1 species
UGUAAAGGGGAAGAGCAUGGGCUGAAAUCUCUCUGCCCUAAGCCUGAGCUUCAGGGGAGCUUGGUUCCCCUUGAAUCUCAUUCCUGGAAUCUCAUUACUGGAGGAAGCCAGUCACAAAUACUAGGAGGAACUAAGGCAGCUCUGCUUUCUCCACCAUCAACAGCAGUGCAGUCUUUUGCUGAGAGCUCAGAUGUGCAAUUAAAGCUAAUGUGAACUUCGCUGAGGCAGUUAUGUUUUUCUAGGGUUAGUAUUUUUCAGAUCCCCUGAACUAUCCUGGAGGUUAUAACUAACAUAAUAUGAAACCUGGAAAAGCUGCUGAUAUAGAAAAUUCUAACAGCGUUCCUCAAGACAGGACACAGUGGUUUCAGAGAAAAAUCCACAACAGAGAAGAGAAAAAAAAACGAAACGUGUUUAAAUCACCUCAGUGAUGAGACAGAUCUUUAUAACACUGAGAACCAGCUACAGGGAAGUCAAGCCAUAAAUACUGUUGCACUAGACCAACUGUAAACAGGCUCACUUCAUUCCUUGCAAUCCAGAGAGGUUUCUGGGGGUAAACAAUACAAGAAGAUGGAAUGACAUUGAGGCAUUUACUAGAGGAAAGUUAAGCGUAUGAAAAGCAUGACACAUCAAAGAAGUAGUGAUGGAACAGUCAAACAAGGCUGCUGUAACAAGCACUGAGAAAAAGAUGCAGAGAAAGCUUUUGGCCUAAGUACAGAUGAGCAAAGUUUUCUAUUCCAUCAGCUUGUUUUUUUUUGUUGUUUAACUUUUGUCAGUGCAAUUUAGUGAUAUUCUCUGAAUAUAACUUCAGUUAUAUUAUUUGAAAAUUAAUAAAACUGUGUCAAAGCUGACUGCUUUAAUACA